CCUCAGCGACCUCGACGCCUGUCCACUGCCCGGACAUGGCAGCAACCCCACCACCACCGGCUCAGCCAAUGU
rnacentral:sRNA from 1 species